UACGUAGGUGGCAAGCGUUGUCCGGAUUUACUGGGCGUAAAGAGCGCGCAGGCGGUCGUUCAAGUCGCGUGUGAAAGCCCCCGGCUCAACUGGGGAGGGUCACGCGAUACUGAUCGACUCGAAGGCAGGAGAGGGUAGUGGAAUUCCCGGUGUAGUGGUGAAAUGCGUAGAGAUCGAGAGGAACACCUGAGGUGAAGACGGGUUGCUGGGCUGACACUGACGCUGAGGCGCGAAAGCUAGGGUAGCAAACGGG
rnacentral:rRNA from 1 species